UACGUAGGGUGCAAGCGUUAUUCGGAAUUACUGGGCGUAAAGCGUGCGCAGGCGGUUUUGUAAGUCUGUCGUGAAAUCCCCGGGCUUAACCUGGGAAUUGCGAUGGAGACUGCAAGGCUAGAAUCUGGCAGAGGGGGGUAGAAUUCCACGUGUAGCAGUGAAAUGCGUAGAGAUGUGGAGGAACACCGAUGGCGAAGGCAGCCCCCUGGGUCAAGAUUGACGCUCAGGCACGAAAGCGUGGGGAGCAAACAGG
rnacentral:rRNA from 1 species